rnacentral:pre_miRNA from 1 species
CAAGUACACCCUCCGUCCGGAAUUACUUGUCAUCAAAAUGGAUGUGUCUAGAACUAAAAUACAUCUAGAUACAUCCAUUUCAAUGACAAGUAUUUUCGGACGGAGGGAGUACAAG